CGAGUGGCGAACGGGUGAGUAACACGUGGGUGAUCUGCCCUGCACUUCGGGAUAAGCUUGGGAAACUGUGUCUAAUACCGGAUAGGAGCCAUCUUUAGUGUGGUGGUUGGAAAGUUUUUUCGGUGUAGGAUGAGCUCGCGGCCUAUCAGCUUGUUGGUGGGGUAAUGGCCUACCAAGGCGGCGACGGGUAGCCGGCCUGAGAGGGUGUACGGCCACAUUGGGACUGAGAUACGGCCCAG
rnacentral:rRNA from 1 species